AACCUGCCUAUGAGACUGGGUUAACUCCGGGAAACCGGGGCUAAUACCGGAUAAUCUUUUCUACACAUGUAGAAAAGUUGAAAGAUGGUUUCGGCUAUCACUCAUAGAUGGGCCCGCGGCGCAUUAGCUAGUUGGUGAGGUAACGGCUCACCAAGGCGACGAUGCGUAGCCGACCUGAGAGGGUGAUCGGCCACACUGGGACUGAGACACGGCCCAG
rnacentral:rRNA from 1 species